AGGCAUUGUACUUCAAGUUUCCCAAGCUGAAGGACCGAAAGCUCUACAACAUGGAAGUCCCCUAGACCAGGAUUUCUAGAUAUGAUUGGCCCCUUCUUUCUGAAUUUUGGAAACAAGAUGUCACACAAC